rnacentral:rRNA from 1 species
UACAGAGGGUGCAAGCGUUAAUCGGAAUUACUGGGCGUAAAGCGUGCGUAGACGGUUACAUAAGUCGGGUGUGAAAGCCCCGGGCUCACCUGGGAAUUGCAUUCGAGACUGCGUAGCUAGGGUGCGGAAGAGGGAAGCGGAAUUUCCGGUGUAGCGGUGAAAUGCGUAGAUAUCGGAAGGAACACCAGUGGCGAAAGCGGCUUCCUGGUCCAGCACCGACGUCAGGCACGAAAGCGUGGGGAGCAAACAGG